UGGAAUAGGCUGUGAAUGAAACUCUGAUGAAAUAUUCCCACAACAUUACCCUUUCAUUGUAUUUUCAUUGAGCUGCAAUGGCUGCUAAACUAUUAUCUGUAAACAGCACCGUUUUCAAAUGUUUGAAAACUCUCCAACAGCGCUCUGCCCGGGAGUUUAGCGCUGGAGCUGCUUCUCUUGGUGGAGUGAAUUUAAAGGGUCGCAGCUGCCUCACUCUGAAAGACUUCAGCUCUGAUGAAAUCAAGAGGCUGCUGUGGGUCUCUGGGGAUCUGAAACAUCGUAUCAAACAUGAAAAACAGUAUCUUCCUCUUCUGCAAGGAAAGUCGAUUGCUAUGAUAUUUGAGAAGAGGAGCACCAGAACAAGAAUGUCCACAGAAACAGGUGUCUGUUUUGU